rnacentral:rRNA from 1 species
UACGAAGGGUGCAAGCGUUAAUCGGAAUUACUGGGCGUAAAGCGUGCGCAGGCGGUUAUGCAAGACAGAUGUGAAAUCCCCGGGCUCAACCUGGGAACUGCAUUUGUGACUGCAUGGCUGGAGUGCGGCAGAGGGGGAUGGAAUUCCGCGUGUAGCAGUGAAAUGCGUAGAUAUGCGGAGGAACACCGAUGGCGAAGGCAAUCCCCUGGGCCUGCACUGACGCUCAUGCACGAAAGCGUGGGGAGCAAACAGG